rnacentral:rRNA from 1 species
UACGUAAGAGACGAGCGUUGUCCGGAGUUACUGGGCGUAAAGGGUGCGUAGGCGGUUGUUUAAGUUUGGUGUGAAAUCUCCCGGCUCAACUGGGAGGGUGCGCCGAAUACUGAAUGACUAGAGUGCGGGAGAGGAGAGUGGAAUUCCUGGUGUAGCGGUGAAAUGCGUAGAUAUCAGGAGGAACACCGGUGGUGUAGACGGCUCUCUGGACCGUAACUGACGCUGAGGCACGAAAGCGUGGGUAGCAAACAGG